rnacentral:lncRNA from 1 species
GGAAGUUCAGCUUUUCCUUGGUCCUUGCUGAUAUGGAUAUUGGGGGAGGCAGAGUAUCAUUGAAUAGAGUGUCAUGUCAUAUUGCCUCAUUCUGCCCUGUUGCUGCAUGGUGGAAGCAGAAGACAGAAAAUCAAGAUUCCCCUUGGUCCCGCUGAUACGGGGAAGGAGUUUCACCCCAUAGCCACAACAGCUAGUAAUGUUCUGAGUUUCACCUGAAGCCAGCAAGUCUCAGAGGCUCACCCAAGACCCUGGAUGUAGGACCUGGGUAUCGGUUCUGAUUAAGACCGAAGAGUUCUUCAGUUAGCAGGUGAUGAAUGCUGUCAUGACUGGGCCCUUUUCUUCAAGGCAGCAAGUUUCCUUAUGGCCCAAGGUGUGUCUCAAAAUGUUGUCAUGGAGCUAGAUCCUGGAACAGGGACCUCAUGACUCUGGCCAGUGCCCUAUCCUGCUGUGGCUGAGCUGGUAUCCAGUAUCCUAGAUGCAAGACAAAGUCCUCUGCACAUUUCCCUUUCCUCUCCUCAAGCAGAAUGAAGGAGUCUCUUUUGGAACUGAGCUGUGAAGCCUAGGGUUGAGGAUGGGUGAUGCCAGCACUCCCUUGGCUGCCCCAGCUAGUGUCUCAGUAUGUCGCAUGUCCUCUUAGUCCACAGUCUCUUGGCCUAGUUCAGCACUGUCUCCUCCCACAUUCUGGACAUUCUAUACUUAUUAACACAGCUUAAGGUGGUGUUAAUAUUUGGGGCACCCCAUUAUUCUCUGUACUCACAAGGUCUUGCAAACAUCUAACCCUUCCUUUAAGCAUUUUUUCACUUUAGGCACUGAGCUUCAUCUUAUGAAAAUAUGCUGUGGUAAGAUGAAUAAAGACCCCCAAGAUGUUCACAUCCUGAUUCCCUGGACCUGUGAACAUGUUACCUUAUGUGGCAAAAAGCACUUUAUAAAUGUGAUUAAUUUAAGGAUCUUAAAAUGGGAAGAUUUUCCUGGAAUGUCCGAAUAGCCUCAGUGUAAUCACAAUGGUCCUUAUAAGAGGGAGAUAAGAAUGUCAGAGUGGGAGAGAGAUUUGAACAUUCCAUGCUGCUGGCUUUGAAGAUGAAGGAAAGGGGCCAUGAGCCAAGAAAUGUAGAUGACCUCCUGAAGCUGCAAAAUAAAAAAAAAAAUUAUUCACCCCUAGAACCUCCAGAAAAUAACUGAGCCCUACCAACACCUUGAUUUUAGUCCAGUGAGAUCUCUGUUGGACUUCUGCCCUCUAGAACUAUAAGAUACAGCAUGCUUGGAAAUGUGGAAAAUGAUCUGGAAGGGGAGAAAAGAGGGCAGAGAGACCUUUUCAGAAGUUGGUGUGAUGUUCCAUGCAAGUAAUGGUGAGGACUUGAAUUGGGGUAGAAGCACGACCACAAAAUAGCCUGCUAACAACUGUGUAAACACUGAACCACAACAGCACUGGACCAUGUGGUUGAUUCCCCAAGAGGUAUUUUCAGAUGGGUUGACUUUAUUGUGUCUCUUUUUAUAUACUACAAUGUCACUUUUACACAUUUCAAAAAUCAUGUCAGUGGUGUGGCACACAUUGGAAGGUCUGGUCUCAGAAGUGUAAAAAGCAUGGAGCACUUCAGCUUGCAACCAGCUGUCAUCCUGGAUUCUCCUCAGAGGAAGCCAAAAGUACUACACUUCAAACAAGCUUUUUGAAAAAAGGCCAAUGUAUGCAUUGUGCUUGGUAUGGCUACGGGAGAGUAGUGAGUUAGACUUCGAAAACUACUGCAAGUAGUGUCUAUGCUAAUAGAUACCUAGACCCCUUUGUCACCAGCAUUUAGGGUUGAUCGUGAUCUAUUUCAAUGCUAUGAUGUAAUAAUACAUUUUGAAAAUUAUUCUUAAGAUUUAAACAUUUUUCUGAUCAUUAAAGAUGUAUUUGUGUUGUGGAAAAUGUAUAACAAAUGCUAAUCAUACAUAACAAUAUUUACUGAAUGCUAACACCAUGUGAAAGACACUGUGCUAUGCACAUUGCAUACAUUAUUUAAUGUAUCCUCAUAGUAGUCCCGUGAGAUAGAUACUUUUACAUUCUCCAUUUUUAGGUAAGAAAACAGACUCAAAGUGACUUGCUCAAGUUUACAUAGCUAGUACAUGGUAGAGCUAGAAUUUGUGGCCCAUUCUGUCCAGCUCUAAAGUUUGCAUCUGUUUUUAACUUUUUUCUUAAUUAAAAAGAGAUAAAUAUGCACAUAGAGAAAAACCUACUUUUUAUUUCACCAUCCAGAGGCAAACACUACUAAUAUUCUGGCACAUUUUCUUCCUGCCUUUCUUGGAUAUUUUUUAAAAUUUUAUAUUUGAGAGAUAACAGACUUUAAAGGAAAUGUGAAACUCUUCCCUCACCAUUCGGUGAAUGGAAUGAUAUAAGGAGGUAAGUGGAAUUACUCUAGUAGGUAAAUAAAUAAUAAAUGAAUAAAUAAAUAAGAGGCUUGGUGCAGUGGCUCCUCCCUU